CACGAAAAUAGCGUACCGAGUGCAAUGUCUUUUCCAGUUAAGUCACUGUUCCCCCCAAAAAUAGCUGAGUUGAAUAAAGUUGAGUGUUACAACAGGGUACAGGAUCUGAUCUUUUCCAACAGAAAUCCUAUUAAACUUUUCCCGUGCAUACUUGUUAAAUAACGCACGCGUUUGAAAAAUCUGCUGUAAAAGUCUGGAUGCUAAUCAUAUAUCCGCAUUCUUAUUUAUAUAUUAAACAGUAAAUAUUUAGUAGAUAUGAGGGAUAGUGAACACAGUAUUCCAUAUGCGCUACUAUUUUUCCCGGGAUCUUCCUGCGUCAGAAAUCUCGCGCAUGCGAGAAUGAACUAAGAUGCUUUCCUUAGCAUGCUAGUCAGGAGGAUAACUCAGUCCCAAUCUUGUUUUGUCAACAAAAAAAGAUUUGGACUCUAGCCAACUGUGCCAUUAUGUUGGUCCCAAUCUUCACCCUAAAGCUGAACCAUAAGAUUAACCCACGAAUGGUGACUGUGGGGAAAUUUGAUGGCGUUCAUCCAUGCUUGACUGCAGCAACACAAGCAGGCAAGGCAAACAGCUCAUCGGUUGAGUCAGAGUACCCAAGACUCCGACAUCACCUUGCUCAAUAUUAACCAGGCUGUAAGCUCUCUGGCAGCCGGUACUUUGGGUCCCAAUACGACAGGGGACACACUCCUGGUGGGGUCCCAAACCAGUCUACUAGCUUAUGAUGUACAUGACAAUGCUGACAUAUUCUACAGGGAGGUGACGGAUGGGGCCAAUGCCAUUGUUUUGGGAAAAUUGGGGAACAUUCAGUCUCCCCUUGCCAUCAUUGGAGGAAACUGUGCACUUCAAGGCUUUGACCAUGAGGGGAAUGAUCAGUUCUGGACAGUGACGGGCGAUAACGUGAGAUCAAUGGUGCUGUGUGACUUUACAGGUGAUGGGAAGAAUGAGGUAAGGUUUAGUUAUACUGUUUAGACCAUAUAUGUGUGAUUGUUUACACAGUAGGGUGGCACAGUGGGAAGCCACCUAGCAGCCACCCAAAUCUAUGUGUAUUUUAUGUUGUCCCCAUGUCCAUGAUUCUCCCAGGUUCUUUCUUUUCCAUCAGCCUCCCUAAAUUAUGCUGGGAGGUGGAUUUGUUAUGCAGGUAUGCUCCAAACCCAGCAUGACCCUGAUCUGGAUAAUAUAGUUACUGAAGAUGAAUGAAUAAAUGUUCACACACCACCUAGUUAAACUAAAUACUGCACAGGUUUUUUUUUAAAUGAAGAUUCAUAUUCACAUUUGCCAUUCUUUUGACCUGGGCUUGUCAAAUCUGUUUUUAGUGUUUUAUCAUCAUAAUCUUACUUUACACAUCGUGCUAUACCUUACUAAAGUUGUGCAUGAACCGCAUGACAGUAACUGAUAAUAUACAUUACUUACAUCUGAGCUUCAUAGAAUGAUGACAGUACAUUUAUUGACUAGCUAAUGAAACAGUACACAGUUGAAAACAUAAAGCAUAAGCAAAUUGUUGAGAAUGACAGACUAAAGUAUUAAAUUGCCAAAUGUUUUGGGACAUCCCUUCAAAUCAUUGAAUUCAGGGGUUGGCCUUUGCCCCUUAGUUCCAGUGAAAGGAACUCUUAAUGCUUCAGUAUACCAAGACAUUAUGAACAAUUUCAUGCUCCCAACUUUGUGGGAACAGUUUGGGGAUGACCCCUUCCUGUUUCAACUGUGCACUAGUGCACAAAGCAAGGUCCAUUUCAUGGAUGAGUUUGGUGUGGAGGAACUUAACUGGCCUGCACGGAGUCCUGACCUCAACCUGAUGGAACACCUUUGGGAUGAAUUUGAGCAGAGAUUGUAAGCCAGGCCAAAACUGGGCCUUUGCUGUGUUAUUUGUUGUGGUGAAUUGUGUAAAUUAUUGUUUGUAGAUGCAUUUAUCUAAGACAUUUGUUUCUGGAAUAGAAAAGUGGUAGGGAAUCUGGAGACCCCUAGGCACAUGGCAUGAGAAGCACAAGGUGCUAGCCCAUCACACACAGUUAGAUACAGAGAGAGAGAGAGAGAGAGAGACAGAGACAGAGACAGAGAUAUUUCCUACUGCUUUAAAAAUACACUGAUCAGGCAUGACUUUAUGACCAACUGCCUAAUAUUGUGUUGGUCCCCCCAUCAUGCACUGUGUAUUCUGACACGUUUCUACCAGAACCAGCAUUAACUUCUUCAGCAAUUUGAGCAACAGUAGCUCGUCUGUUGGAUCGGAUCACACGGGCCAGUCAACCCAUCACACACACACAGUUAGUUACACAGAGAGAGAGAGAGAGAGAGAGAGAGAGAGGGAGAGAGAGAGAGAGAGAGAGAGAGAACAGAUCAUUCAGAGAUACCAAGCAGUCUGAAUGCACAUAUUUGGACAUGCUAACUACUACACCACCAGGCAUGUAAGUGCAAAAUAAAACUAUUUGUUUUAGCAAAAUUAAAUGAUUAAGAAAGCCUGAAAAAGACAAAUAAAGCAUUGAUAAACGAGAUCCAGUGUUACUAGGUAUGUUAUGUUUUCAUCAGUGUUUACAUUACAGUUAUGAUCUCUGAUUGAAAGCAGCUGAAGAGAUGUUUUUAUGACCUUAAAAUGGUACUUAUAAUAUACACACAUACACACACAGUGUAUUACAGAAGCACCUUUAAGGUAUAGUAAUAAAGUGGUGGUGUUGUCAUAUCCCCCAAAGCCAGGAGUACACUGAAUAAGUUCUUUUUAAACAAGAAUUUCACUGUAUUUAACUGCUCACGUCCACUUGUUCACACAUUACA